UCAAAUCAGCACGGCCCUUACGUCCGGGGCGACACACGUGUUACAAUGGUAGGUACAGAGAGGCGCUAUCCAGUGAUGGAGUGGCGAAUCUCAAAAACCUAUCUCAGUUCGGAUUGGAGUCUGCAACUCGACUCCAUGAAGUUGGAUUCGCUAGUAAUCGCGCAUCAGCCAUGGCGCGGUGAAUACGUUCCCGGGCCUU
rnacentral:rRNA from 1 species